UGCAAGUCGAGCGGCAGCNGACAACAUUGACCCUUCGGGGGAUUUGUUGGGCGGCGAGCGGCGGACGGGUGAGUAAUGCCUGGGAACAUGCCUUAGUGUGGGGGAUAACCAUUGGAAACGAUGGCUAAUACCGCAUAAUCUCUACGGAGCAAAGAGGGGGACCUUCGGGCCUCUCGCGCUAAGAUUGGCCCAGGUGGGAUUAGCUAGUAGGUGGGGUAACGGCUCACCUAGGCGACGAUCCCUAGCUGGUCUGAGAGGAUGAUCAGCCACACUGGAACUGAGACACGGUCCAGACUCCUACGGGAGGCAGCAGUGGGGAAUAUUGCACAAUGGGGGAAACCCUGAUGCAGCCAUGCCGCGUGUGUGAAGAAGGCCUUCGGGUUGUAAAGCACUUUCAGCAGUGAGGAAGGCGGUAUCGUUAAUAGCGGUAUUGUUUGACGUUAGCUGCAGAAGAAGCACCGGCUAACUCCGUGCCAGCAGCCGCGGUAAUACUGAGGGUGCGAGCGUUAAUCGGAAUUACUGGGCGUAAAGCGCAUGCAGGCGGCUUGUUAAGCCAGAUGUGAAAGCCCGGGGCUCAACCUCGGAAUCGCAUUUGGAACUGGCAGGCUAGAGUCUUGUAGAGGGGGGUAGAAUUUCAGGUGUAGCGGUGAAAUGCGUAUAUAUCUGAAGGAAUAUCGGUGGCGAANGCGGCCCCCUGGA
rnacentral:rRNA from 1 species